rnacentral:lncRNA from 1 species
GUCUUAUCCUCACGGAGUUUGCAAAGAUCGUGGGCUUUGGAGUGGGAGAGAAAUGCUGCCUCCUCCAUUACUAAGCAUGCAGUUUGGGGAGGUGAACUUCAUGAGACAUGGAAAGAAAGGCAGCUGGAAGAGGCCAGGUGGCACUUUCAACACAGUGCCUGGAAAUUUCCCGGGCCAGCUCACACGUUCAUUGGUACGUUUUCUAUUUUCCAAGUUACCGUGGGUGUCAAUGUUGCUAAACUUCCCUAAGCCACUCCAUAAAAAUGUCUCCUUUCUUUCAGGUUCCAAUAAUAUUUUCCUCAUGUUUAUUUAAGUCUUUGCUGACAGACUUUUCAAGGCCAGCCCCAAAGCCAGUGCACGUGUUUUAGGUUUUUAUUACAGCAGCCCCACUCUGGUUCCAAAAUCUGUAUCAAUUAAAGUUAGAUUGGAGAAGCAAAAGCACUUUGAGUGAAACAAGGAGUUUAUUGUAGGGAUUAGAAUGUACAUGAUUAUGGGAGCUGGUUAAGCAGUCUGUGCAAUCUGUUGUCCCUCCGACAAGACGUGGGUCUGAAGUCAGUGGGCUGGGCUAGCUUCAGGAGGGGAACACGGACGCAGAGUGGAGCUGUGAGGAGCGCAGGCACGGACUGGAACCUGCGUCGAGGAGGUGGGACCUGUAGGUCCCACACUGCGCUUUUACGCCUCCCGUCCUGACUUCGACGAUAAAGCACACUUGCAGAAAAGCUGGUGCACCUCGUCAUGGAGUUAUUCACAGACCUAGCCAGGAUUCAGAGAAGGUGGAGAAGCAGCGAGCCAGCAGACACACGGCAUUGUGUGCGAGCUGCCACUUACGCCGAUCUUCUGCUACAAUCAUGGCUGCCGCGUCACUUCCGCCUUCCAAAGGUUGCUCCUAUUUUCUGGGAAACAUGGUUCUGGCUUAGCUCUAUCCGUGUGGUACAAAGCCACCACAGUCCCAAGGGCCCCGGCUAGGAAUUAGGAGUACAGCCCGAGAAUGCGCCGUUUGUCUCUAAUGGCAAAGCCUACCCCUUUGAGCAUUUGCGUGAAUCCAGGGAAAAGAACUCACACAAAGCUAGGGAAAGUUAGUGCUUAUAAACCAGGGCUACUAGGUAACCAAUGCAUAAAAAUGAAUAAAUGUCCACAAUAAAUUUUAAUAUAAUAGUAU